rnacentral:rRNA from 1 species
GAGUUUGAUCCUGGCUCAGGAUGAACGCUAGCGGCAGGCUUAACACAUGCAAGUCGAGGGGUAUUCUAGCAAUAGGAGAGACCGGCGCACGGGUGCGUAACGCGUAUGCAAUCUACCUUUCACAGAGGGAUAGCCCAGAGAAAUUUGGAUUAAUACCUCAUAGUAUAAUGACUCGGCAUCGAGAUAUUAUUAAAGUCACAACGGUGAAAGAUGAGCAUGCGUCCCAUUAGCUAGUUGGUAAGGUAACGGCUUACCAAGGCGACGAUGGGUAGGGGUCCUGAGAGGGAGAUCCCCCACACUGGUACUGAGACACGGACCAGACUCCUACGGGAGGCAGCAGUGAGGAAUAUUGGACAAUGGGCGCAAGCCUGAUCCAGCCAUGCCGCGUGCAGGAUGACGGUCCUAUGGAUUGUAAACUGCUUUUGCACAGGAAGAAACACCCCCUCGUGAGGGGGCUUGACGGUACUGUGAGAAUAAGGAUCGGCUAACUCCGUGCCAGCAGCCGCGGUAAUACGGAGGAUCCAAGCGUUAUCCGGAAUCA